AGUGGCGAACGGGUGAGUAACGCGUGAGUAUCUGCCCUUAGGAGGGGGACAACAGUUGGAAACGACUGCUAAUACCCCAUAUGUCUACGGAUGAAAGAUUUUAUCGCCUGAGGAUGAGUUCGCGUCUGAUUAGCUAGUUGGUGAGGUAAAGGCUCACCAAGGCGACGAUCAGUAGCUGGUCUGAGAGGAUGAUCAGCCACACUGGGACUGAGACACGGCCCAGACUCCUACGGGAGGCAGCAGUGGGGAAUUUUCCGCAAUGGGGGCAACCCUGACGGAGCAAUACCGCGUGCGGGAGGACGGCCUGUGGGUUGUAAACCGCUUUUCUCAGGGAAGAAGACCUGACGGUACCUGAGGAAUCAGCAUCGGCUAACUCCGUGCCAGCAGCCGCGGUAAUACGGAGGAUGCAAGCGUUAUCCGGAAUUAUUGGGCGUAAAGCGUCCGUAAGUGGUUAAUCAAGUCUGCUGUUAAAGAGCGGAGCUUAACUCCGUUUAAGCGGUGGAAACUGGUUGACUAGAGAGUGGUAGGGGUAGAGGGAAUUCCCAGUGUAGCGGUGAAAUGCGUAGAUAUUGGGAAGAACACCGGUGGCGAAAGCGCUCUACUGGGCCACAUCUGACACUGAUGGACGAAAGCUAGGGGAGCGAAAGGGAUUAGAUACCCC
rnacentral:rRNA from 1 species